UUCUGACAUUAACUGCAUGGCCGAGAUGGGCGAUUAGAUGUAAUGUAUACUCGGGAAAUGCAUGUAUAUAUUGGUAUCUGUACGCAAAAAUUUAUUGGAGCUUGCAAAACAAAACCAAACCAGGCUGGAAUAUAUAUAUCUCAUGUCUCAGCCUGGAAUUGAACUCGGAAUCUUGGGGUUAGUAGCCCUCGCUCUUAACCACUACGCCAUAU